UACGAAGGGUGCAAGCGUUACUCGGAAUUACUGGGCGUAAAGCGUGCGUAGGUGGUGGUUUAAGUCUGCUGUGAAAGCCCUGGGCUCAACCUGGGAAUUGCAGUGGAUACUGGGUCACUAGAGUGUGGUAGAGGGUAGUGGAAUUCCCGGUGUAGCAGUGAAAUGCGUAGAGAUCGGGAGGAACACCAGUGGCGAAGGCGACUACCUGGACCAACACUGACACUGAGGCACGAAAAGCGUGGGGGAGCAAAACAGGAUUAGAUACCCCCCGUAGUCC
rnacentral:rRNA from 1 species